rnacentral:rRNA from 1 species
UACGAAGGGUGCAAGCGUUACUCGGAAUUACUGGGCGUAAAGCGUGCGUAGGCGGUUUGUUAAGUCUGUCGUGAAAGCCCCGGGCUCAACCUGGGAAUGGCGAUGGAUACUGGCGAGCUAGAGUACGGUAGAGGAGAGUGGAAUUCCCGGUGUAGCAGUGAAAUGCGUAGAUAUCAGGAGGAAUACCGAUGGCGAAGGCAGGUCUCUGGGCUGACACUGACGCUCAUGCACGAAAGCGUGGGGAGCAAACAGG